GAUGAACGCUGACAGAAUGCUUAACACAUGCAAGUCAACUUGAACUUCGGUUUGGGUGGCGGACGGGUGAGUAACGCGUAAAGAACUUGCCUCACAGAUAGGGACAACAUUUGGAAACGAAUGCUAAUACCUGAUAUUAUGAUUUUAGGGCAUCCUAGGAUUAUGAAAGCUAUAUGCACUGUGAGAGAGCUUUGCGUCCCAUUAGCUAGUUGGAGAGGUAACGGCUCACCAAGGCGAUGAUGGGUAGCCGGCCUGAGAGGGUGAUCGGCCACAAGGGGACUGAGACACGGCCCUUACUCCUACGGGAGGCAGCAGUGGGGAAUAUUGGACAAUGGACCAAGAGUCUGAUCCAGCAAUUCUGUGUGCACGAUGAAGUUUUUCGGAAUGUAAAGUGCUUUCAGUUGGGAAGAAAAAAAUGACGGUACCAACAGAAGAAGUGACGGCUAAAUACGUGCCAGCAGCCGCGGUAAUACGUAUGUCACAAGCGUUAUCCGGAUUUAUUGGGCGUAAAGCGCGUCUAGGUGGUUAUGUAAGUCUGAUGUGAAAAUGCAGGGCUCAACUCUGUAUUGCGUUGGAAACUGUGUAACUAAAGUACUGGAGAGGUAAGCGGAACUACAAGUGUAGAGGUGAAAUUCGUAGAUAUUUGUAGGAAUGCCGAUGGGGAAGCCAGCUUACUGGACAGAUACUGACGCUGAAGCGCGAAAGCGUGGGUAGCAAACAGG
rnacentral:rRNA from 1 species